CAGAAGUCCGGGGGCGUGAGCUCCAGGAAGGAGGGCCAGCCAUGGCAAAGAAGGCAGGCCACUCCUGACUGCCCCACAGAAGUGUGCGGCGAUGUGGGGCCGCUGGGAACCCCGAGGAGAGCUGGAGCCCAGGAAGGUGACGCAGCAAGUGUAGACAAGAUGGCGAGAGACUGGGAGCUGCACAAGAACGUGAGGCAGAGGGAGCUUUCUUCUAUUUCAAAAAUGGGGAAGAUGGGAGCAAAUUUAAAUGCUGCUGGAAGGUUCCAGCAGAGACGGAUAAAGGGGAAGGACGUGGGGGCGAUUCCCAGGAAGAGUCCUGCGGAGGCUGGUCCUCGCACACACCUGCCAGACCGUCAUCGGGGACGUCAAGUGAAACAACGGGGUCCCGAAUGAAACUUGCUCAGAGCUACCGCACACUCCUCAGUCACGUCUCGGGACCCUCGCACCCACAUAGGACCCACCGGACGAUCGCCCAGUCUCAAGACCUCCAAGAUCCUUAAUGACAUGUGCAAAGGCCCGUUGCCGUGGAAGGUGACACAGGCUCUGGGGUUGGAAUGUGAACAGAAGGGUAGAGGCUGUUGCUCCCCGUGCCCGAGGGGAGGACAGAGUUUCCAGGCACCGCGGCAGGCUUUCUCACAGAGUUUCACGCAGAAUGCUAGGGAACAGAGGUGCGACGAUGAGAAAAAGCUCCUCAGGAGGUGGGAUGUUUGCACUGGGUCUGGAAGGACGAGUCUGUGCUGAGGAGAAGCAGAAACACGGCAGGAGGCAGAUGGAAUAACGCACAGUGGUGCUACGUGCCAGAACUUUCCGGGCAGGGCUGAGCGUGCUGGGAGCGCUCCUGGAGAAUUUGGGAGAGAGGAGCUGGGCCACGUCCUGCGGGAGGGACAGGCUGAGAAGCUUGGCCUUUAUCCUGUGGGUUCGUGUCUCCAAACCUUGUUCGGUCGUGCGUUCCUUUUGGCUGAGCCGAUCUUAGCUUGCACCCCGAAGUAUAUUGGUGUGUUUAUGAAUUACACGGGCAUCGCUGUGCUGAUAUCUAGUGUAUGUCGUAACACGCGUAAGGCAGAGAAACCUAACAGAGCGCCUGAACCUUGGCUGGCUGCCUGGCCACCAGGUAGAGACCGCAGUUCUCAGGCUCCCUUCCAGCAAGGUGUGGUCCCGUGCCUGAACUUGGGCUGAUAGGAUGUGCACGGACGUGCCACGGGCAACUCCCGGCCCGUGUCUCUAAACACAAACCGUUUUCCUGGAUUCUCUUUGUUCCUGCAGCUGGGAACAUAGAGAAGUGAGCCAGCUUCUACUAUGCGGGCAAGAUGAUACAGGGCCGUAGGGCCCUGGGGUGACCCGGGAAGUCAACCCACUCACCUCCAGGUGGCUGGGGGAGACAGGGCUCAGCUCCCGUCUGAGUCACCUUGUUUUUGGACUCCUAUAUAGCGGUUCUGUUUACCCCUAAUACACCUGAGGGGUUCACGUUUAAGCUCAAGCUGUUUUAUUUUGUCUUAUUUUAUUUUAUUUUAUUUUGAGAGAGAGAGAGCAAGGGAGAAGGGCAAAGAGAAAGAGAAAGAAAGAGAGAGAGAGCGAAUAUCCCAAGCAGGCUCUGUGCUCAGCACGGAGCCCAGUGUGGGACCCCAGCCCAUGACCCUGGGAUCUAGACCUGAGCUGAAAUUAAGAGUCGGACGUUCAACGGACUGAGGCCCCCCGGGCGCCCUAGUUUUUUUGUUUUGUAUUUUUCAUACUUCUCCCUGAUAGACAACAAGGCUGUGCAUGCAAGAAAAUAUUUUCAUGGUCACUUCCCCUUCCUCAUAGAGAAUUAUAAAGGUUUUGUUAGAAUUACAUAGAGCGUAAGCCGUAUCUCUGUUAAGACGGCCUCUAGGCCAGCUCUGGGCUUCGGUGGGGAAGCGGGCCACAGAGUGACGGUGGCUUGAGUUGGUAGGAUGGGAGGGGGCUUUGGUCUGGGGGUUCUGGGGUGGAGAGUGGUGGCUGGCCGUGCCUUCUGUCACCUCAGUCCCCGGGACGAAGGGUGCCUUGCUGGCAAGGGCUGAGCCCCGCUGGGAUGGGCCCUGUGGCCUGGAGAGUCUGACUGAGCACAGAGUCCACGUCCCCCCUGCGUGGCCCUUCAGGCCCGGGACCUGUCAGGGAGAAACAGCUUAUCAAGCAGCUCAUCGUGUCUUGUACUUGGCUGAGCCCAGGAGAUGGGGGUGGGGACAGAGAAGCCAGUUCUCAGAACAGAAGGUGGAAAGCCCUGGCUGGACCUGGCUGGAAAGACCUUCAGAAGGGAGCCGAGGGCUGUAGGCUGGGGCCAGUGGCUCCUGCAGGACUGGGGGAUGUUUGUCACUUCCCCUGGUUUGUUGGUUUUUAUCCCUUGUCAGCUUCCCUGCGGUUGUUGGCAACAAAACUUUCGAGACGAAAAAGGGGCAUUCGUUGUGUGCCCUUGUUCAAGGUUGACAGGAGACAGGGAGGGAGAGGAAACCACUGCUGUUUGGCAACCAGGCUUGGGGUGGGGUGGAGGGACCUGGGGACAGGACCCUAAGGGACAAAGUGCGUGAUGGCAGCAGAGAGAGGGCAGAGGGCUGGGAUCCCAGACCCGGCAGUUGCCUGAAGGCACAGGUGCCUGGAACCCCUCAGAGACGGCUGACGGGCAGAGAUUGUGGCAUGUGCACGCAGAGCGGUAUAGCUUGGCCGCAAACGAGAACGAAGCGCGUCCACUGGGACAGCGUGAGUGGACUUCGAGGGCACUGUGCACGACAGAAGCCAGUCUCAGAGACACUAGCACUGUGCACGUCACUCCGUCACAGGUCCCUAGAGGCGCCGAGUUCACAGGGACGGAAAGCAGAA